GCAAAGGACCUGAAAGGGCAGGUCCUGUCUGUGUUCUGUUGGGUGGAAGGUGUGUUGGUGGUUCAAGACUGAAGAGGGUCGGGGGCUUGGAGGUUGGCAGGGAUCCCUUGGGCUGCGUGUGAAUAGAGGGGUGGAGAGUGGCAAGGACCGACAUGGGCAGACCAGUGAAGAGGCUCCUGCAUCCAGGAUCCCCACUUUCCACUUCUCUCCAAGUGUAAAUUCAAAACAGGAUUCGACAUCCAUCAGCUGGGAGCCCUUAAAACACAGAAGAAAGGUACAGCGGAGGGGGCUCCUGUUGUUAUUUCUGAGGGUACAGCUGCUGCUGGCGGGGGCAUUCCUCUUCUGGAACCACCAUCGCCACGGCUGCGCCUCCUUCCUGUGCUUCCUCAUACAAGACAAGCCCGAGGAAGGGGAAGAGCUGCUUUUUCUGGGUCAGGUCUCCUCUGCAGAAAUCCCUCACCAGGACGUGUACUCCAACCUCAGUCAGAUCCACCCUGUGGACAUCGGUGAGGAGGGUCUGCCCAGCCGCCCCAUCAUCUCUCCCUACAUCAGUAAGCUUGCAGGGGCCUCCUAGACCCCCAGCCCCACCUCGGGCUUCGGGGAGCUGGCAGGAAUCCCUGAGGAGGUAGGGCACGACCAGGAAGAAGGCACUGGGCUUGGUGGCUGGGGACAACGGAUUAUGUAUU